rnacentral:rRNA from 1 species
AUUGAACGCUGGCGGCAUGCCUUACACAUGCAAGUCGAACGGCAGCAUGAUCUAGCUUGCUAGAUUGAUGGCGAGUGGCGAACGGGUGAGUAAUACAUCGGAACGUGCCCUGUAGUGGGGGAUAACUAGUCGAAAGAUUAGCUAAUACCGCAUACGACCUGAGGGUGAAAGUGGGGGACCGCAAGGCCUCAUGCUAUAGGAGCGGCCGAUGUCUGAUUAGCUAGUUGGUGAGGUAAAGGCUCACCAAGGCGACGAUCAGUAGCUGGUCUGAGAGGACGAUCAGCCACACUGGGACUGAGACACGGCCCAGACUCCUACGGGAGGCAGCAGUGGGGAAUUUUGGACAAUGGGCGAAAGCCUGAUCCAGCAAUGCCGCGUGUGUGAAGAAGGCCUUCGGGUUGUGAAGCACUUUUGUCCGGAAAGAAAUGGCUCUGGUUAAUACCUGGGGUCGAUGACGGUACCGGAAGAAUAAGGACCGGCUAACUACGUG